UUUAUUAUUAAUAUAAAGGCUGCUGGGCCAAGGAGAGGUAGGACUCCACCUCCAAGAAAAGAUAUUCAAGAAAACAAACCAGCAGAGAAUGAGCUGCUGGCAAAAUUGAAGAAAAGAAGAAACAAAGAAGGUAGCACUGAUACUACAGACUCUGUGAGUUCAAGUCCAGAUCAGUCACCUGUUGCUAGUAGACGCCAGUUAGGUGUACCACCUACUAGUCCAUUGAAUAAAGAGCCAGGCCCUCCCACUCCUGUAUCCCCUUUAUUAAAAACACCUGCAGCUCCUGCCUCUAAUAAGAAUCCAUCUCCUAAUCGCAAGACAUCAAAAGUGUCAAUACCAAAUGUCUUUCAACAAACAUCACCAGGUACAGUAGAUUUCCUUUUUCUACUGCA